GCAUAACGCGAAGAACCUUACCUAGGCUUGACAUGCAUCUCUAAGCACGUGAAAGCGUGUGACCCUUCGGGGAAUUUGCACAGGUGCUGCAUGGCCGUCGUCAGCUCGUGUCGUGAGAUGUUGGGUUAAGUCCCGCAACGAGCGCAACCCUUGUGACUAGUUGCCAGCACGUUAUGGUGGGAACUCUAGUCAGACUGCCCAGAUCAACUGGGAGGAAGGUGGGGACGACGUCAGGUCAGUAUGGCCCUUACGCCUAGGGCUGCACACGUACUACAAUGCCCAGCACAAUGAGAACCGAGACCGCGAGGUGGAGGAAAUCUAAAAAACUGGGCUCAGUUCGGAUCGUAGGCUGCAAUUCGCCUACGUGAAGUUGGAAUCGCUAGCAAUGGCGCAUCAGCUACGGCGCCGUGAAUACGUUCCCGGGUCUUGUACACACCG
rnacentral:rRNA from 1 species